UCCACUCUCCUUUCAAAAAACGCUUUCUUAGUGCCAAGACCACUAGAUUACCUGCUGAUGUAGUGGUAUUUGCUAAUUGUUUUGCGUCAUCUGGCCGCGACACGACAAGCACUUUUUUUUUUUUUUUUUUGGUUCGAAUGAAAUUACUGCAUAUAAUAAUGUUGAACGGGAUACCAAUAAAGUGUUGGCUCCACUGGCAAUGGAGUCCCCUUAAG
rnacentral:lncRNA from 1 species